CUCUUGCCAACUUUUGUUUUUUCCAAAGUGCAAGAAUUCUGCCUCCAGCAGUGAUGCCUGAUACAUCAGUUACUGCUUGUACCAGAUGUUUACAUUGGCAGGGCUGCCUGUGAGAGGAAAGAGAACACGAUGUGAUCUCCUGCUGGUCUGUACCACAGAAUAUCCCCACGGGUCUCUUUGUUGGCUGCCUCCAUUCUGACACUACUUUCUGACUGUGCUUGCAAAAAUUUAUCUUCCUUCUGUUAAGCCAUCCCACAGGGCCAAGAAGGAAGACUUUGGAGGAAUUUUGUGUAAACAAUUCCCCAUCGUAAACCUACCAAAUGAUCUAAUGCAGUGAGUAAGGGAGAUCACCCAUUCUAAAAUUACCAGCUUGUUCAAGUGAUUCUCCAUGCUGAGUAAAUAAGGAAGCAGAAGAGUAUUGCUGUUUGUAGCCCUCAGCCCUGGUUUGCUGAAAAUUUCCUUUAAAAGCCUCUUUUCAGCCUCGUGCAUUUUUCACCGCUUGGGUCAGCUCUUUAUGGGAGCCUACAGUAGGAAACCAAUUAUCUUAUGAGUAGUAAAGCAAAAAAAGCAAAAUUCAAAUAAAUAAAAAUAAAUGUACUAACUCUAAGGCCUUCAAUACAUCUUCCACAAAGCAAUUAAACAGGCUGAACAAUCAGGAGAUAUUCAGUGUUGUAUCCCUAACCUAAAAGAAGCUGUCACAUAUUCGGCCUUUCUUUUCACAAGCCAAGGAUUUUUGAAAAUUACAAGCUCAUUUUCCUGGCCCAAAUGGCUUUUCAGGUGAGGAAAAAUUUUCAUAUGGAUGAUGACGACAUUUACUGGAUUUACUGUUUUUCCUCUGGAAGCUCAUGCCUGUGCCCAAACCCUGUGGUUGUGUAGUUUCUCACACAGGGUGACUGCUACUUCAGUGUCAACAGUAAUUGCAGAAAUUCCAGAGAUGUUAUCAUGUAAUUAUUUUUAUUUAAAAUGCUCCAAUGUCUUUAUAAAGCUAGGUUCAGGAUAAACAGCAUGACUUAGCUGCUUGCACUUGGAUAAUUAGGGUUGAAAUUGUAUAUAUAAGUAAAAAGUAAAUAAUACAUAUCCAAAUAACAUUCAGGCCAUUACUUUUCCUUUUAAUAUUAGUAGCUGUAUGUCCUAGAAAAAGUCAGGGCUCAGGUGUACAGGAAGUCAGAGGUGUCUCUGAAGCAACUCUGAUGACCUUCUUCUAUUUUGUGUGCUGCCAUGGCUCUUCUAAGUAGUAAAGAGAUAGGACUCCUUGAAUUGGAUUUCCUUUUUCAGUUCAGAGUUGAACACAAGAGAAUCCUGUUGACAUUUUAACUAUACAGCCAUGGAGUAUCAUUAGAGUAGUUUGGGAAAAUUGCUUUUCAGUUCUAUACCUUUUUUGUUAUUAUUUCUGGACAUGUGCCUCACCUAGACACUUUCAGAUAAAGUCAUGCAUUCUACCAUAAUUUUUUCAGUAGAAAUAGUGAUAUUUUCAAAGUGGAGAUUUCUUCACUCUUUGAAUGCCUUUUUCCUUAAACAUCACAUACUGUAUCCUGUGAGGAAAUUCUGUUCUACCAUAAUUUGUCCACUCCCCUAAAAGUAGAAUUUUAACUCCCUGCCACUCACUUUAGUAAAUGUCCCAUAGAGGGUUUCCAGUUUGUCAUAUCUAGAUGUUUAACAGUAAGCAGAUAAUGGCAAUACCAACCAAAGUAAAUUCUCACCAAUAAUACUGUUUUUAUUUAUGCAUGCUUGUGUGUAUAUAUUUAGUAUUUUAUUUAUUUAAUGGUGUAUUAUUUAUGUAAUUUCGUAUUUUAAGGCAAGUUCCGAGUCCCUUAGUUGCACUAGGGGUUUUUACAUACAUCAAAAAUUAUCAGUGCCAUCCUGUUUCAGUCAUCAUGCAAAAGGUACGUCUGUAUUUGGCAUGCUUCCAGGCUAUGGCAGUGACAGUUGUGUCCAGAGGGGUAGAUAAAGAUAUUUAAAGAUCCACCAAGAAAUGGUAGAAAUGAGUGGACUCAACAUAUCCAGAAAAGGAGAAAAAAAGCUCUUUUCAGAAACUAGCAAUACUGUCCAGGACAGAAUAUCGUAUGCUCUGAGGUUGGAAAUCUGAGGAUUCCUUUUUCAGGGCAAGUGUGUGUGAGGGUAGUGCCUUGCAUGACAAAUACAGAUCUUAAGAAGCAAGCAAAUAACUUUUAGAACUGGGUGGUCAACCAGAAUUUGAGAUCAAUUACUGUGGUCCUUCACAGCCUGUUCUCCUGAUGAAAAGUUUAUGAAAAGGUAGUGUGGUAAAACAUGAGUCACAUGAGCAUAUUUGGAGAGCUGUGAUUGUGAUUUCUUUUAGAUUGAAUAUAGGUAUCUGAGGAGAACAGUCAUUGAUAAAUAGGCAUACAGUAAGCUAUCCUCUUAAUAACUAUAAAUGUCUUUUUCAGUGUUAGUUCUCAUUAUGGUAUUAGAGCUGGUAGGUAACCCCACAGGAUGACAGUUUUUCAGGUCUCCCUUUUGAAAUUUCUAUGAUACCAAGAAAGAUUCUGUAUGUCUUCAGCUGUGGAUACUGACACAUUUGUUUUCCAUCUGUACGGUUUUUGUCUUUUGGUCCCAAGUAAUGACUAUAGACCUGUUGUUCCACAUUCCACAGUCACCAUUUUUGUGUGACUUCUGAGAAUGCAAGCUUGGUCCUAGGUAUUUAUUUUGCCCAACUGCCCCAGCUUUAUGCGACAGUAUUGCCUGCAUAUAUAAUGAGAUAAUGAGGUCCUUUUUAUUCAGAAGUUGCUCUUUUCUAUCAUAUGGCCACUGCCCUGCAGGGAAAUGGGAAAGAUCAUCUUCUCUCUUUCUUCACCACCUGCUUACCUUCCUGCCUUCAGUUCACUCUCCUGAUGAUUUCUCUGAUGAAAUGACCAUUGGUGUCAGAUACUCAAGUCUGAGAAUGGCGCAGACCAGAAGUAGUUAUCAAGGCACAUCUUUUGUGUUUAGCAGAUGUUUUGUCAUGUAUAGAAAUUGUGUGGAGAAAAAUCUUGGCUCAAGGUACUCGAAAAGCACAACGAUGGAUUUAGCAAAAUGCUAAGAAGAGAGCAGUCCAGCCACUCCUGUGUUUUUCAUCCUGUCUUCAGGACUAGACCCACUUGAAUAUCAUGAGACCAUACAUAAGCCUCUUACUUGCUUCUGGUUCAAGGACCACUUAACUGUCUCCCAUUAAAGAAAGAACAAUUGAGCUUGAAAGUGAAAUGGGGUAUACGGGGCUAGAAAUGUGGAUAAACUGAUGUAUGGUUAUGUGCUUGUGUGUAUGUGCUUCUAGAAGUGUAUGUGUAGUUAUAUUUUCUUCUCUGAACAGAACAAAGCCUUCUGGAUUAAGCUGUCACUGGGAUGGAAUAUGCAUUCCUGUGGGGAAAUUGGGCACAGUUUAUUUUUGGCAGAAGAUUCAACUUCCAAAGUUUCUUCCACCCCCACCAUAUUCAUGGCAAUGGGGUGGAUGAAAAGUAUAUGACCAUAAGCACUACAGUAUGAAGACAUUUUCAGAGCAUUCCUCUGCUUGGCAUAAUGCAGGGUUUUUUUGUACUGUUUUCUACCUUUUUGACUAGAUGAGGGCCAGAGGGCAAUUUUCUCCAUGCUCAUGUAAUCUUGUGCCCCCUGUGACUAAAUAAUGGUCAUUAUACAAACUAUAUUCAAUUGUAUAGGGUUCUGUGGCUUUAUAUGUAGGAUUACUAUUCCCCACAGACAAUAGUGAGAAUACCAGGUUAAUACAGCUGUGACCUCACUGUGCUCAAUUUAAGCUCAGGCCCCACAAGGUGAGAGGCUUGUGCAUUUACCCACUGAACCAAUCAGUUAAAAAACUGAUGUGAUAUCUACCACAUGUUGCUCUCUUUUUCAUGAGGGAAUUGCUCUGUACCCCCCAUAAGAGUUUCUAAAGCUCAGUAACAAUGCUGAGCAUCUAUCAAAAUGUCAAAAGGUUCAUUAUCUUAAAACCAAGGGAACAGAUUUCUGCAGGCUUUUUCUAAUACCAGCAAUAAGGCCACUGUUGAGAGCUCGCAAUUUUGCUUGUUGAAAUUGUAAGGGUUUAGUGAAGUGCUUCAGAGGAAGUAAUAUGUACUGCACAAGUGAUAGUGAAAUUAAUGGGGGCUUUAUCAUUCUUUUUCUUUUCUGCUCUGCUAAUUUUCCCAUCUCCUCCCCCUACAUCACUUACCCUUCCCCAAUUAUUUCUAUUGCAGGCAAAAAGAUUGGGUUCACUAUAGGUUCAGGAAGAUUUCAUAACAUCACUCUAGGACAAAAGCAGGAGAUGGUUGCAAAGGAGGCGCUCAAGAAAGCUGCCCCACAUGGCCAUUGGGUUCUUUUCCAAUGCUUUGCCAGCUCCAACCACAAAAGAGCACAUCAUUCCCCAAGGAAUACUAGAAAAUUCAAUUAAAAUUACUGGUGAACCUCCUGCAAGGAUGCUGGCUAAUUUCCACGCUGGUUUUGACCAGGUUCUGCUUGGUGGGUGGAAAGAAGAAGGCAGAGAAAGAAGACAUGAGAAUGUGGAGAACAGGCUCGUCACAGAUUGUGCGUAACCUCCUUCCCUCCAGAUCCCUGGUCAUCCCUGUCUGCUACUCCAAGAACUUGUAGAAAGAUCUUCAGUUCCAUUGUGAGUCAGCUUCCCUGCAGCAGUGGCUGGAGCAGUCAGCUUGCUCUCAUCAGCAAAGCAGACCAUGAUGGAGGCAGCCAGAACUGCACACUUUGGCCUUCCAGCAAGGGGAUCCUUGAACUGCACGCCAGAGAAGGGGAAUUUAAAAGCACCCUUUUCCCUCUGUGCAAUUUUCACAGGUGCAUUCCUGGGAGACUGAAGUUUGGCCCUUGGGGCUGGAAUGGAAGGUACCAAAUCCUCACCUGGGAUUUCCAUCUGCAUCGCUGUCCUCAGCAACUGCUCAGAGGCCCACCAGAAGGUGGGCUCCACAGGAGGACUCACAUAACCUCCUUGGUGAGAUCACAUAAGGUGGCCACAUCAUGGGUGCCUGGUACUGCAGGCUCUGCUGAAUCUGUCUGCAAGAAUUCCUCAGCCCAGCCCUGGUGAGAACUUUCAUAUGUGCCUAAAGCUCUGGAACACAGUAUGUUUAACCUAAGGGAAAGAGAAGACCACGCGCUUUCUCAUCCAAUCUGUAGCAAGGUCUUGUCUGGCUGUGGGAGAAAAAAAUUGCUGAUAAUUUAUCAUGAGCAGAUUUUGGCUGAAAGGGUUUGUGAGUUGGCAUACUGCUUGUCUACUUUUGCAAGUACCAUUAAUUGGUAACUUGAAUUCUGUACUUUGUAACACUGCUUGUAUAGUGAGCUUAAUAUUAUCAGAUACACUUAGGUCUCCAUUUUCCUAGGAAAACUAUUUUAAGGUGCUUCCAUUUAGAAAGUUUUAGGUAGGCAUGGGAAAGUAUCUUUUAUGGAACUGCUCUUUAACCAACGUAACUGAUAGACUCACCAGUUUCAGCAGUCCAGAAUGGCACCAUCCUCAGAACUUACACUUACUCUUUGCACAUUUUCUUCUUCAGAAAAUAAUGGAAAUGUUAUACAUUUCCCUGCACCUCACUCUUUUUAAAAUAGAGAAAAUAGCUUGUAAGACCGUUUUCAAUUUUCCACUACCUUCUCACACAUCUGUUUCUGUAGCUUUGUCAGGUUAUCACCAGCUGACAUAUACUGAAUUAUUCAAAUUUCAUUAUUGAGUUUUCAUCCUGGACAGCAGUGUAUGUGGAACAUCUAUGACUCCAAAGGGCCAGAUUGCCAAAGUUGCUUCUAAUCAGCAGCAAAUGCUAAAAUUUUUGAGGCUAUAAAAAGAAAAUGUUGCUUUAACUUUAGUUUUAAGAAGUUUUGCAUGGAAACUGCAAAAUCUCAUAUAUGCAGUUAUAACAAAUGUGGAUGCUUAUACAGGGGCAUGUGUAUAUAUUUACACACAUAUAUAAUAUAGAUAUAUACUAUAUGUAUUAUAUAUAUGUACUUUUUAAUAUGUAUAUAAAUAUUUAAAAACUCUGUCUGCUUCUCCUUAGCUGUUGAAGAAGCCACUUUAGAGAACUGACUCUACACAAUUUGCUAAAAACAACCAAGAGAUUUUUCAAGCGUCCUUUCCAAAAUUGUUAUUUUUCAUUGUCCAAAGGUAAAAAAGCUCAUUUAUGAGGAAAAAAAAUAAAAAUUACCAUGUUAUGUGUGAGCAGGCCAUUUGUGGAGCCGGGCUAAGCUGGGAAAAGUGCCCCUUUCACCCUUGGCAGUGUGUUUAAGCUUGCCUUUCGGCUGUGAACGAGAGGAGCGGGCUGGUGUCUCCCUGGUCCUGAAGAAGCAGGAUUUCAUAUGUCAAAGAGCCACACUCAGAUGAAGGCAAUCGGAAGUAACUGCUCAGAAGAAGAUGCCCAAGAGUAAGUUGCCAUGGAGAUGGAAAGGCUAAACACCACUGUACUCCUGACCUCGAAAGAGGCUGAUUUCUCCACAUGACAGCUGAGGUCGUGGGGGCAUGGUGGGAAGCUCACCCUGCCGGCUCCAGCUCUGCCUCUAGCCUAUGGAUAAGUAAAGAAUUAGUGCUUUACUACUUUAGGUAGUCCAUUAACCUUCACAAGCCUGAACUUUCAUUCAAAUAAUUGCAAAAUAAGUAUAGGUGGUGAAACCUGAACAGAAUCACUGCUAUUUGUAUGGCCUUUGGAAAGUUUAGGGACCCAACCCUUAGCGUGGAUCCACUGGUAUUUUAAACAGUGAGGUAUCUUUCUUAGCUUCUUGCUGUAAUUAGAAAAAGUUAAAGCCCAGAAUUACCAGCAAAACCAGGAAAUCAUUCAGUGACUGGCAGCCAAUGAAUGGAUGGUCCUUCAUUGGUGGUGGGGCUUUGUGUUCCCUGGGGAGAUUACCAUCUCUUUUAAACUUCUUGCUUUAUGAUGAGUUCUUUUAGCUAUAAAUUCAUUCCACAGGGUCCAUUAGAAUAACCCACCAUGUGUCAGCUUUGAUAGACCUCACCCAGGAACAAUCAUAAAGACAGAAGGGUGGCAAGCUCCUGCUUCAUAUCCCCGUAACCCAUAGCCUCCCUCUGUGCACAUGACUCCCACAGAUGCAGUAAAACCUGAUUUAAGUGCCAGCAGAGAGAGACUGGUAAGUACAGAUUGUCUGACAGAAUUGAUCUUCCACUCGAGGUAAAUAACAGGGCUUUUUUCAAAACCUCAGCACUACUUCAAAGUGGCUGUAUCUUAAGAUACAGCUUAUUGUGGGUGAGGUUAGUGGUGCAAGUUCAGGCACAGGUAAAUGGCUGGUUGCAGAACCAAAAUUACUUCAGAAAUAAGUGCUUACUGGUGUUAUUUUGAGCAGUAGCUUGUUGUAGACUGUUCUAAAUGCCAGAAGCUGUUAAAUGUUAUUGUGAUUUUGUGAAGUGGACCCUGCAUUAGGAAGAAAUAGCUUUUGUGAAAAGUACCACUUAGAGCUAGAAAUACUUUUCAGCAAAAACAACUUCAAGCCUUUUUUAAAUUGCAGACAGCUCUAUGACAAUAAAUUCAGAGAAAUUUUUUGAAUUCAGUGAAGUUCUUACAGCAGAGGAGAUGGGGAAGUCUAGAAAAAUAAAUGUGAUGGCUACAGCUUUUAUUCUUAUUUUAUUUAUUACUUUUUAUUUUAUUUAGGAGGUCAGCCCACUGUGAGUACAUCUCAUCAAAGUCCUAUCUACAUAAAUCUUGAUGUGUUCCAAAGUCCCAAGUCUUAUCUUAAAUAUCCUGACAGAGUUAGGGUCUUCCUGCUCUAUAGGAACAGUGCAGUUAAUAGUACUUGGCUCAAUAGUGACCUGAUUGAGACCUUAAUUUUUAAUCCUAUUAAAAUUAUCAGCACAGUGUCUAUCUCACUGAGGCCAAAGCAGCAGUAAAAAACCCCAUACAAUACUCCUGUACUUGGAGAGAUGCAAUGGAGUAGCAAAAUGGCAUAAGACUCCUUGCUUGGCUGCUGAGGUGAUGCAGACUUGCAGUACUUAAAAUACACUUGCCUCAGUAGUGACAUUCCUUAAAAUAAAUGCAAAGCUUCCUCAUGAAGUAAGAAUCAACCCCACAGAAAAUGGAAGUGUCUGGAAAUUAUGCAAAUAGUAACUAUGCUGGGAAUACUUUGAUAACCCUGCUCCAUUGUAUUGGAUCAUGCAGCUGUCAUGUCUACAGACGUCAAAUUAAUUUCUGAAACUUUGUAGCUACAGGAGAAUGUUUCCUGGUGUCAGCAUUACCAAUAUUAUUAAUUUUUUUCCGACAGCUUGAAGCGGAACUUGGCACCAUGUUUCUUGGCCUCUCCAAAUCUGGAUUACAAUGGAUACCAUAAACACAUAGAUUAAAUGCCUUCAUCUGAAAGCCCUGCUAAAUGGACUGCACCAUAUGCUGAGAUGGGAUUCUUGACAACAUUAGAUAAUCUCUUCAAAACUCCUUUGGUAAAGGAACCCAUGUAUAUAUGGGAGAGGGAUCAGGCUAGUCUGCAGUGAAAGAGGUGAAGUUCUUCAUCCAGUGUGUUGUCAGUUAUUUUAACAGCAGGUGGAAUACAUAUCUUACUGUGUUAUUUCAGCAAUAGACUUAAUUUUGGGGGCUGGGGGUGGGGGAAGGCAUCAAAUUAGAAAAGAUCAAAUUAGAAGAGGUGAGUGCUAAUUAUUAUGAUAAUGCACCAGCCUGGCCCAGAGGUAAUACACUCGGAAGACAUUUGGACCAAUUCCUUUUUCAUAUUGAAUUUAUUGUGGGGUAGGAAACAAGGUAUGGAUCUAUCUCACUUUUUUUGUUGUUUUGUUUUGUUUUUGUUGUUGUUUUUGUUUGGUUUUUUGUAUUAUUUUUAUAAACAAGUACAGCAAAAAAUACCUUACUGGAAAAAAGGUGUGGUUGGUUAAAUUGGUUGGUCUAGUCUUGACCUCUGUCUUUUGUUCCCAUCUCCUGCAUGAUAAAACUCCUUAGGGUAGCUUUUUUCUGUUGCAUUCACAGCACAGCCUGGCAGUGGUGUGCAGGCUUUCCAUGCCAGGAAGAGCAGCCCAAGCACAGGCUCUCCCACUGCUUCCCUUCCUGGGAACUUGAUCUGAGCAGGAGCCUUGUGGCUGCUCCAAGAUUUCCUUUGCAAGCAGUAAAGGAAGAGGAGGUUUUUCAGGGACUUAUAGUUUUUGGGUAGUCUGAAGAGGUGAAUCCUGGCCAAGAAGGAUGUCUGACCAUCUCUUAGCCUCAGCACCUCACCACAGAAUCUGGAGUCUAGCAGAACAAUAACAUUAAUACUGAUAAACUAUCAGAUGCUGCGUUAAAUGGAUCAACUCUAAUACCAGGAUAAGCGUUGUCACUUAAUAUGGAGUUGACUGGGAUAUUGAAGUUCUGUUCAUAGCCAAGAUAUGUCAGACACACAGAUACAUUAAUAUAGCCAAACUCCUUCCAGAACAAUUUAAAAGGAUGGGUUUUAAGCAUGGAACAUCACGGGUGCUUAAGAGAUUAGAUUAAUAAAGGAGCAGAGAAGGCAAAUAUAAUCACAAAUCUCAGCUAGUUCUGUUUUCAGAUUUUGCCAUCUUCUGCAUCUUCCUUUCCAAGUGUAGAUCUGAGAAACUAUGUCCAGAUGCCCCAAAGCCUGGUAUAUUAUGAGACUGAGACUUAUCUGAUUCCUUAUCCUUACCAAAGUUAAUUAAAGUCCCUUGUGACUGUCACUCUAGUUCUGCAUUUCUCCAUCCCUUUUUUUCCUCUUAUCACUAUCAGAUCAUGGAGGUUUUGCAGGAGGAAAUGUGACAGCUCUGCAUGCAAGUAGCCAAGCACUGCUUCAUCUCCUGGGGGGAGCUUGUGCUUUUCAUGCUCAGUCCUCAUCCACUUUAGGGAGUCUGGACUAUAACAUAUGGCAUUCAUCAUUAAGUCUGCCAAAGCUAGGGCUGAAACAGAGGCUGAGCUGCAUUAAUGCUGUAAUUUCAAUUCCUGCUCAUUAGCGCUGUUAUGAAUUGUUCUUCAUUUAUGUUCUGUCUCAGUUCCAGAGCAAGCCUGCAGGGAGAGAGGCUCUUUUUGGGGGUGAGGCAUGUCUGUGCCUGUGCUAUGUUUUGCCUAAUGCCUGAGACAGCAAGGACUGUGGGUGGUGGAGGGGGUGAUGGAUAGUAAAUCAUUAGGUACUAGAGAAAUACAAACUACUGAUCACACUUAACUGAAAAUCAAGACAGUUCCGGGGUGUAUCCUAGUAACAGCAGUCAUCCCAAGUCCAGGACAAUGCAUUAGUAGGCUUGAAGGGUCAAUGUUACCUGAAAAUGUAAAGCUGAAUAGAAGCUGCUAAGUGUUAAUUGGCUUGCAGUCAUUCCUCUCAAUACUGUUGCCAAGAAGACAGUAAAGGUGAUGGAGAGAGCAUCUCUGGUUUUAUCUAAGAAAAUGAGAUAUUUGUACUCUUCUGAAGAAAUCAGACUUGAAAGUAGAUGACUCAGAAAGAUUUGAUUUGCUGGGAUUUCUAUUGCUCUGUUGUAUUGUCCUGAACAGGUUAAGAAUGUCCUGAGUGAUAUUAUGGAAAUGCUUCCUGAGAAGCUUAACAUAGCAGAAAUCAUGCAGGAAGACUAUUGCCUGGAGACCUUAUGCUCUUGGUUGCCUCAAAGGGGGGAGCUGAUACUUUCUUCUCACAUGGAAGUGCUGCCAUAUACACUCUUCUGUGAUGCUGUGCCAGACACAAGGACUAAGCCAGCAUAUCCAUCCACAGCUUUGUCCAUUGCUGUAAUGUAGAGCAGGAACAACUGGCCUUAGGAUAAGAUGUGCUCGGUGUGCAAGGGAAGGAGCCUGUAUCUGCAUGCUUUCCAUGCAAAGUAAGAAUAAACUUAAAUUGCUUGAUCUCCUAGUUCAGGGACUCUAUUAGGCAGUGAAGCUGCAUCAAGAGUUGGACUAAAGCGUUGUAACCCUAUGAACAGCACCAAGAAGCUUAGGCAUGGUGCUAGAUUGCUGACAUUUGUCACUGUGGCUUUAAAUUUCAUACCAGCUUGGUGUUCUAAUCAUUAAACAUACUUCCUGCAUUUAAAUAACUGUUAAGUAUGUCUGAACAAGGUCUGCAUUCUAGUGAAGCAGUAGCUCUAAUCCAGCUGAGGUUCAGAAGCUUAAGGACUAUUCCAGAAACUAUAGAUUUCAUAGAAAUGAGCUUCUAGAAAAUUUUUGCAGCUCUCAAAAGGUGCAGAAUAGGAUUAGCAGUUAGCACAUGUUAGCAACCUGGAUCAAGUAAACUACACAACUCUAAAAAAAAAUUACAACCUAACCCCCACAAAAACAACCAACCUACCAAAAAAAACCCCAAACAUAAAACUCCACAAAAAUCAUCUGUAUAUUGUUUUUUUUCUCCUACCUUGACUGAAAGUUGCCAAUUCUAAAUAAACAGAUAUAAAGAAUUAUGAAUGUUUUAUUUGCUGGGUCAUAAUGCUUACAAAGCUUUCAGGGAGACAUACCAAGAAUAAAGGGAAGUACUUGAGAACACCUGUAUUGUGGGUCCCUUCCAACUCAGAAUACUCAGUGAUUCUGUGAUCAGCAUGAGGUAUAAUUAGGUGGGCAAAGUGUAAGAAUUAAAAGAGAUUUUUUCAUCUGGACUUUUAAGCAGUCAUUGCAGUAGCUGUAAUAGGGUUGUAGGCUGUCCCUGAAUGCAAACCAUGUCCACCUUUUGAGAUGCAACUCUUCUUUUAACAACCUUCACAUGAUUAACACCCUAUUUUGUUCUUUUGAAUCUGUAUCUUCCUGAGACUGAAGCAUCUAGUUCAGGAACGACAAUUCAGGCCUGCUGGUAACAUGAGAUUUUAGUUUUAACUGAGAAAAGUUGUCAACAAAGCUACAGCUCAUUAGAGAAAGGUUCAAGAAUGAUACUUACUGGAUCAAGCAGAGCUGACUUCACAUCUUCACCAUAUCGAUUUCGAAGACAUGGUCCACAGAACUGCCCCCUUACUCCUCCACAGCCCUGUUUGCGACAGAUUGUCUUUGUAUCGGUCGUCUUCUGUCGACACUGGUGGCAAGUACUACCCUAAGGUAGAAUGAAGAGAAGAACAUUUAUAUGAAGGGCAUCUUAAAUGCCCACUGAUGAGCUUUCCUAAUAAUAAUAAGCACAAACUUCAAACCAAAGUCAAAUUAAACAAUGAAGAGCAAGUUCUGUUACUAUGAUAAAUCAUACAACAAUGCUAGGAAUUUUACAGAGACAGUGCUAAGUUUCAGUUGCAAUGGAAUUCUCAAAUUACAGGAACCUCAUAAUUACA